CCUACGGGAGGCAGCAGUGGGGAAUAUUGCACAAUGGGGGAAACCCUGAUGCAGCAACGCCGCGUGAGUGACGAAGUAUUUCGGUAUGUAAAGCUCUAUCAGUAGGGAAGAAGAUGACGGUACCUGAUUAAGAAGCCCAGGCUAACUACGUGCCAGCAGCCGCGGGAAUAUGUAGGGGGCCAUCGUUAUCCGGAUGUACUGGGUGUAAAGGGAGCGCAGAGGGCAGUGCAAGUUGGUAGUGAAAGCCCGGGGCCCAACCCCGGAACCGCAUUGGAAACUGUGCGGCUAGGGUACUGGAGGGGCAGGCGGAAUUCCUAGUGUAGCGGUGAAAUGCGUAGAUAUUAGGAGGAACACCAGUGGCGAAGGCGGCCUGCUGGACAGUAACUGACGUUGAGGCUCGAAAGCGUGGGGAGCAAACAGGAUUAGAUACCCUAGUAGC
rnacentral:rRNA from 1 species